rnacentral:rRNA from 1 species
AUUGAACGCUGGCGGCAGGCUUAACACAUGCAAGUCGAGCGGGGUGAUGGUGCUUGCACUAUCACCUAGCGGCGGACGGGUGAGUAAUGCUUAGGAAUCUGCCUAUUAGUGGGGGACAACAUCUCGAAAGGGAUGCUAAUACCGCAUACGUCCUACGGGAGAAAGCAGGGGAUCACUUGUGACCUUGCGCUAAUAGAUGAGCCUAAGUCGGAGUAGCUAGUUGGUGGGGUAAAGGCCUACCAAGGCGACGAUCUGUAGCGGGUCUGAGAGGAUGAUCCGCCACACUGGGACUGGGGCACGGCCCAGAAUCCUACGGGAGGCAGCGGUGGGGAAUAUUUGACAAUGGGGGGAACCCUGAUCCAGCCAUGCCGCGUGUGUGAAGAAGGCCUUAUGGUUGUAAAGCACUUUAAGCGAGGAGGAGGCUCUUUUGGUUAAUACCCAAGAUGAGUGGACGUUACUCGCAGAAUAAGCACCGGCUAACUCUGUGCCAGCAGCCGCGGUAA